rnacentral:rRNA from 1 species
UAGCCGUAGCGAAAGCGAGUCUGAAUAGGGCGUUCUAUAGUCGCCGGGUCUAGACCCGAAGCGGAGUGAUCUACCCAUGGCCAGGGUGAAGCGCGGGUAAGACCGCGUGGAGGCCCGAACCCACUUCAGUUGAAAAUGGAGGGGAUGAGUUGUGGGUAGGGGUGAAAGGCCAAUCAAACUCCGUGAUAGCUGGUUCUCCCCGAAAUGCAUUUAGGUGCAGCGUGGUGUGUUUCUUGCCGGAGGUAGAGCUACUGGAUGGCCGAUGGGCCCUACUAGGUUACUGACGUCAGCCAAACUCCGAAUGCCGGUAAGUGAGAGCACUGCAGUGAGACUGCGGGCGAUAAGGUUCGUAGUCGAGAGGGAAACAGCCCAGAUCGCCGGCUAAGGCCCCUAAGCGUGUACUAAGUGGAAAAGGAUGUGGGGUCGCGAAGACAACCAGGAGGUUGGCUUAGAAGCAGCCACCCUUGAAAGAGUGCGUAAUAGCUCACUGGUCAAGUGAUCCUGCGCCGACAAUGUAGCGGGGCUCAAGUACACCGCCGAAGCCGCGGCACUCACAC